AUUUUUUAAAAAAAUCAGACAGCUAAUUAGUUAUUUCAUUGCAAAAUAACAUAAAAGAAUCUCUUCAGGAUUUUUUAUUUGAGUGAAUACGUCUGAAGGGGAGUGGAGGAACUCCGUAAGAGACGUCUCCCAGAGACCAACAUUAGGCAGCAAGAACGUUUCUGUUUUUUUUUUUUUUUUUUUUUGCCACAUGGAUUUUCUUUUCCCAGAUUUUUAUAAAAAUAGUUUCAACUACAUGGAAACAUGAAUAACUUGGCAUUAUUAUUAAUUUUAUAAUGGUUCCCUACAGCAACAACAGUAUAUAUAUCUUUUUCAAGUGUGUAAAGUUUUUUGACCUAAAACAAAUGGGACUUGUACUGUUUUUCAAAAAAUAAACUCAGUUUGAGAAUUGGAAUUCUUCUACACAGAGCUUGUAUAUUGGGCCUCCAAGUAGCUAAACUCCAUUCUGAUCAUCCUGCAUCCCGUUGUUUGGGAUAUCUUCACAUGCAAAACUCCUUUUGUGUCAAACCAAGUGUGUCUAUGAUUAUAACCCACUGUUAAAAUUAACCUACUAAUUCUUCUCCUUUAGUCCUCUACUUUCAAAAGCGUGAGUCAGCUUUGCUUAAAUGUAAAACAGUUAUUUUUUAAAUCUAGAUGUUAGAAAUCAAUGUGUACGGUGUAUUGUAUUUAGACCAUACCCGUGACCGUUUCUUUUUACUAGCUCAAACACUAACAAUUUAAGACUUACAAAGCAUGGGUUUUAUAUUCGCCAGGCUUGACAUAUCUCAGUAGGGUGACAGAUUUAAAAUGUAUGGUGCCAUUUGGAGCCUUUUACUUGAGAUUUCUUUCAAAUUUCACUUGAAAACAUUUUGAAAAUGCCUGAUUCAAGAUGGAGAGGAGUCGCCUUGUCAUACGGUCUCAAAUGUUAUUGAUUUAUUUCUCUCAGUAGACUGUUCGACUAGCAAUUUUUCCCAUCUGGUUUAUCGUUACCUGUGCUAGCAUCUCACUUGACAAGUGAAUAAAAUAUUCCAACUGAA
rnacentral:lncRNA from 1 species